rnacentral:rRNA from 1 species
UACGGGGGGAGCAAGCGUUGUUCGGAUUUACUGGGCGUAAAGGGCGCGUAGGCGGCGCAACAAGUCACUUGUGAAAUCUCCGGGCCUAACCCGGAGCGGCCAAGUGAUACUGUCGUGCUAGAGUGCGGAAGGGGCUACUGGAAUUCUCGGUGUAGCGGUGAAAUGCGUAGAUAUCGAGAGGAACACCUGCGGCGAAGGCGGGUAGCUGGGCCGACACUGACGCUGAGGCGCGAAAGCCAGGGGAGCGAACGGG